CGGAGCGACACCGCGUGUGGGAUGAAGUCUUUCGGGAUGUAAACCACUGUCGGAGGGGAAGACAAAAAAGACGGUACCCUCCAAGAAAGCCCCGGCUAACUACGUGC
rnacentral:rRNA from 1 species